ACGCUGGCAUCAUGUCUCACUGAUACCGUGUCGCCACACUCACCCUCUCCUCUUAAGAACUGGCCAGAAAUGAAUUUUAAAUCAGAUCAGAGACACACCCUUGAGUUUCAUUUAAAGAUUAAAAGUAAAAUGAAUGAGAAUCCAGUGAUGUGGAAAAUAUUAAUAUUGAUAUCUAAUAAUAGAUCAGGUUUUCUAAAGUGUAGCUCAUUAGUUUAUUCAUUAUUAUUUGUAUUGAUAUUAAAUUGGAGGAAAGGACGGUCUGCCCCUGCAAUUAGUUAUAACGAGGAUUUACUAUCAACUACUCAGUUAAUACAAUCACUAGCUACUGUGAGUUAUAUAAACUAAAAGUUGUCACAUGUACAUAAGAUACUAAUGCAAGAGGGUACAUGUAUAAUGGCAAGAGUAGUCUUGCAUAUUAAAAAUGGUAAAGGCUAAAUGGUUAGUGAAGCCAUUGUGUUAUGUUAGUGAAUUAUUCAGUGAGCUGUCUUGUGAAGACAUAGCGAGAUUAUUAGAAAUAUGUGAUUCGUUUAUAUAUAGUAAUUAUCAAGAUAUACUAAAAGGAAAGAUUCCAACAGAAGAUUCCCUCCCUGAUAGUUCAUGGAGUACAUUGAAGGCAAUAUUAAGACAAAAUAUUAAUAAAUUUGGAAACAUUUACUAUAGAUUUGUAUCUAGAGAACACAUUACUACUAAUUAAUAUAUUAAUAAAGUUAUACAGUUGUAGCACAGUACUAUGUAUAAUUCAAAUUUAA